rnacentral:rRNA from 1 species
GGGGAAUUUUGGACAAUGGGCGCAAGCCUGAUCCAGCCAUGCCGCGUGCGGGAAGAAGGCCUUCGGGUUGUAAACCGCUUUCGGACAGAAAGAAAUCGCAUGGACUAAUACUCUGUGUGGAUGACGGUACUGUAAGAAGAAGCACCGGCUAACUACGUGCCAGCAGCCGCGGUAAUACGUAGGGUGCGAGCGUUAAUCGGAAUUACUGGGCGUAAAGCGUGCGCAGGCGGAUAUUUAAGUCAGACGUGAAAUCCCCGGGCUUAACCUGGGAAUGGCGUUUGAAACUGGAUGUCUAGAGUGUGGCAGAGGGGGGUGGAAUUCCACGUGUAGCAGUGAAAUGCGUAGAGAUGUGGAGGAACACCGAUGGCGAAGGCAGCCCCCUGGGCUAACACUGACGCUCAUGCACGAAAGCGUGGGGAGCAAAC